rnacentral:rRNA from 1 species
UUUCCGUAGGUGAACCUGCGGAGGGAUCAUUAAAGAGUUGCAAAACUAUCGCUACCAUUGUGAACCUACCUUCAACCGUUGCUUCGGAGCUCGGGCACCGGGUCUCCCGGCGAUCGCGGCCCCCUCGCGGGGCGGCCCGCCGGAGGUACCUAACUCUUGAACAUUGUAUGGCCUCUCUGAGUCUUCUGUUCGUAGAUGCUCGUGAAUUUCAACAACGAGCUCGCUGGUUCUGGCAUCGAUGAAGAACGCAGCGAAAUGCGAUAAGUAAUGUGAAUUGCAGAAUUCAGUGAAUCAUCGAAUCUUUGAACGCACAUUGCGCCCGCCAUGCUCGCUGAUAGUCGCUCGUGAUAUGCUCGCUGAUAGUCGCUCGUGAUAGUCGCUGUAGAUGCUCGCUGAUGAUGCUCGUGAUAGCUGCUCGUAGUGGCGGGCUCGCUGUCACACCGAGCGUAGUAGCAUUAUCUCGCUCUGGGCGUGCUGCGUGUCCCGGCCGUAAAACGACCUUACACCCAAGGUUGACCUCGGAUCAGGUAUGCUCCGUGAUAGAUCGCUCGUGAUAGCUGAUGCUC